CUGCCCUGAGUCCUUAAUGGAAGUUGGGUGAGAACCCGCUCCUGUUCAUUCAUGCCCCGCGCUGACGUCACCCAAGCCACGCCCCCAGGAAUGUCUUUAAAGGGGCCGGGCUGGCAUCCCGAGGGGAGGGAGGGAAAGUCCAGAGGGGUUUGGGUAAGACUUUGGGGCCCUCUGGACUCACCGGCGCCCCCCAGGCGCUCCAGUGUUUGCGUGUCUCAAAGCAUCAGCGCCCCCAUGCGCUAGUCCCCAGGGAUCUCGGAAUCCAGGAUGUUCGGCCCAAACGUGCGCUGAGCCAUCCCCGCUCGUCCUUUGCCUUUUGUGACUGAACUCAACGUUGGCCUCAGUCUAGGCAGAAAUGGGCCGGAUGUCCAAGAAGUAGUUGCCUCCUUAGCAUCAGUCCUGGGAGAGGAGGCCUGAAAUAAACCGGAUGCCUUCUAUCUUGGGACCUCUAAAGGGUGCACCAGACCCUGGAAGGACAAGGAGAGUUCCUUUGUUCAGGAGCCUCUAUGCUUACUGGGAUCUAGGAGCAACCCUCUUCGGGGAACAGGUCAGACAUGCCCUGAUUUAAUUCUCAUCUAGGAAGCAGCCAUCAUUGUCCACACUUUUUUAGAAGAGGAAAACUCAGGCUACAGAGUUUGUACCCCAUGCCCGAAGACUACAUAACUCACAGGGGCCUCUCCUCAAAGGUCCCUCAGACGUGAGUUCACAACCUCCCCUCUUGAUGGAAGUGGCUGAGGAACAAAUGGGAAAUGUCCUCUCAACUGACUGCCCAGCCAGUGGCCACCCACCCAGCCGCCCCCAGAUGCCUAUUGCCUUGUCACCAUUUGGCCAGUGUGAAAGGAACAGCUGCAGCUGGUCUGGUUUCCCAAGCUGCCCUCUGCUCGCCUCCUCUCUGACCCCAGCCUCUCCUCAACUCCCAUGGACCAACAGCCAUGCUGGGCUACUCAGGUACCCAGGUCCUCCUGCCAGAUGUGGACAGCUUGGUCUUGGCCUCUGCCCUUGCAAAGCGGGUCUGGACAUCUCCCCUGGAGGGGGAGAGGAAGGGUUAAUUACAGGUGUUGGGAUUAAUUAAAGCCUUUGAUCAAGAUGA